GUUUUUGACGCCUUUGGAGUGAGAAUGGGUUGUUCAUUCACAACAAGAGAGAAUGAAUGGAUGUCCUCAGCCUUCCAAUAGUUAAUCCAAAUCAACAGAUGGCAGAUGGGAAAGGAGACCACGGCAAGGUCUCACCCAGAGGGUCUGUGUUGCACAACAUCAGCGGAGAAGAAGAGUUUCUCUUGCCUCAACUGUUACUUUGAUACAUAUUCUGUGAAAUAUUAUGAACCGCUCUGAUCCCGAGAUGAGUUACAUCUACAGCCAUGUUAUUCAAUACUGCCAAUUACAGGAAUGGAUUAGUUCAAGUUUGUUGGCCUUCAUAACUUUAAAAAUUGUAAUGGAAAUUUGGGAUUUAAAGUUUAUUUAUUUUAUUUUUAUUUUUUACUGUUUCUAAUGUAAUAUCGGUUUUUAGUAAUAUAUUC